ACUCCUCGGGAGGCAGCAGUGGGGAAUAUUGCACAAUGGGCGCAAGCCUGAUGCAGCCAUGCCGCGUGUAUGAAAGAAGGCCUUCGGGUUGUAAAGUACUUUCAGCAGUGAGGAAGGUGGGUAUGUUAAUAGCAUAUUCAUUUGACGUUAGCUGCAGAAGAAGCACCGGCUAACUCCGUGCCAGCAGCCGCGGUAAUACGGAGGGUGCGAGCGUUAAUCGGAAUUACUGGGCGUAAAGCGCAUGCAGGUGGUUUGUUAAGUCAGAUGUGAAAGCCCGGGGCUCAACCUCGGAAUUGCAUUUGAAACUGGCAAACUAGAGUACUGUAGAGGGGGGUAGAAUUUCAGGUGUAGCGGUGAAAUGCGUAGAGAUCUGAAGGAAUACCGGUGGCGAAGGAGGCCCCCCUGGACAGAUACUGACACUCAGAUGCGAAAGCGUGGGGAGCAAACAGGAUUAGAUACCCGGUAGACUCUGC
rnacentral:rRNA from 1 species